rnacentral:lncRNA from 1 species
UCUAAAAUGUACCAAUAAAUGUAUUGUUAAAAAAAAAAAAGACCCCUUGUAGGGGCAGGGCCAAGAAAGGGCGGACUCUUGUGUUUCUGGGUUAGUAGGCCUGCCCGUGUUCCAUUGGCUAACACAUCGCUCAAUCAUCAGUCCCCGCCUCCCUGGGCCUGGCCGGAAGACCCGUCCCCACUUCCCAUUGCCCGCCGCUGCCUGCCCAGCCCUUGGUGAACACCGGAAUUCAGAGGCUCGGUGUGACACACCUGGAACCCCAGCACUUUCGAGACUGAGGCAGGAGGAUCACCGGUCUCAGUAUGCAAUUCAGGCUGGCCUCCAACUCCCAGUGAUCCUCCCGCCUCAGCCUCCAGAGUGCUAGGAUGACAGGUGCCCGCCUCCUCUGGGACACCUGAUGGGUGACUCUGCCACCCUAGGACACUGGACGAACCACCCUUCCAGAACCGGUUUGAAGCCAAACAAUGGUGCGGCGUGGGCCAGCAGAGCAGGAGGCUAUGGGAGCAGUGGUUUUGUGGCCAAGAGGGGCAAAGGCCCAGGCGCCAGGCAAUCAGCCUCUCCCAGCCUGGCAAGGGCCCCCGAGGCACCCUGGUCUUCCCAGAGGCCGGGGACAGUAGGGAUGCAAAGCCUCCUGAGAUGAGGGAGGUGACCCAGGUCAGGGGCAGAUGGGUCACCCACCUCCCUGCAAUGAGGAGAGGGAGGCAGCCAUCCCAGGAGGGACGCUCCCCAGGGAGCCAAAAAGCUCUGAGCCACUUACAGCCCCUAAAGUCUCCCCACUCCUCCCCGUAACUGUGCCUUUCCCUCCCCAAA